AGUUUGAUCCUGGCUCAGAACGAACGCUGGCGGCAGGCUUAACACAUGCAAGUCGAACGCCCCGCAAGGGGAGUGGCAGACGGGUGAGUAACGCGUGGGAAUCUACCGUACCCUACGGAAUAACGCAUGGAAACGUGUGCUAAUACCGUAUACGCCCUACGGGGGAAAGAUUUAUCGGGGUAUGAUGAGCCCGCGUUGGAUUAGCUAGUUGGUGGGGUAAAGGCCUACCAAGGCGGCGAUCCAUAGCUGGUCUGAGAGGAUGAUCAGCCACAUUGGGACUGAGACACGGCCCAAACUCCUACGGGAGGCAGCAGUGGGGAAUAUUGGACAAUGGGCGCAAGCCUGAUCCAGCCAUGCCGCGUGAGUGAUGAAGGUCUUAGGAUUGUAAAGCUCUUUCACCGAUGAAGAUAAUGACGGUAGUCGGAGAAGAAGCCCCGGCUAACUUCGUGCCAGCAGCCGCGGUAAUACGAAGGGGGCUAGCGUUGUUCGGAAUUACUGGGCGUAAAGCGCACGUAGGCGGAUAUUUAAGUCAGGGGUGAAAUCCCGCAGCUCAACUGCGGAACUGCCUUUGAUACUGGGUAUCUCGAGUAUGGAAGAGGUGAGUGGAAUUCCGAGUGUAGAGGUGAAAUUCGUAGAUAUUCGGAGGAUCACCAGUGGCGAAGGCGGCUCACUGGUCCAUUACUGACGCUGAAGUGCGAAAGCGUGGGGAGCAAACAGGAUUAGA
rnacentral:rRNA from 1 species